rnacentral:rRNA from 1 species
CUGGAAGAAUCUGGAGACAGGUGCUGCAUGGCUGUCGUCAGCUCGUGUCGUGAGAUGUUGGGUUAAGUCCCGCAACGAGCGCAACCCUUGCCUUUAGUUGCCAGCAGUUCGGCUGGGCACUCUAAAGGGACUGCCGGUGUUAAACCGGAGGAACGGUGGGGAUGGACGUCAAGUCCUCAUGGCCUUUAUGACCAGGGCUACACACGUACUACAAUGGCCGAUACAAAGGGCAGCGACACUGCGAGGUGAAGCCAAUCCCGUAAAAUACGGUCUCAGUCCGGAUUGGAGUCUGCAACUCGACUCCAUGAAGUUGGAAUCGCUAGUAAUCGUGGAUCAGCAUGCCACGGUGAAUACGUUCCCGGGCCUU